rnacentral:rRNA from 1 species
UACAGAGGUGGCAAGCGUUGUUCGGAAUUACUGGGCGUAAAGGGCGCGUAGGCGGUCAGGUCAGUCCCGUGUGAAAUCCCUCGGCUCAACUGAGGAACUGCACGGGAAACUGCCUGGCUUGAGUUCGGGAGAGGGAAGCGGAAUUCCGGGUGUAGCGGUGAAAUGCGUAGAUAUCCGGAGGAACACCGGUGGCGAAGGCGGCUUCCUGGACCGACACUGACGCUGAGGCGCGAAAGCGUGGGGAGCGAACAGG